AGCCUUCAAAUCUGAAAAUGUGUUCGAGGUGUUUUGUUUUUGUGGGUUUUUUUUUUUUUAUAGUAUACUGAUAUUGAUAUUCCUCUUUCCCCCAAUCUUCACUAGCCAAACCAUCAGCUAAGAAAUGAAUGAAAAAAGAAAAUAAAAUGUGGUACAUAAUGCAAUGGGAUCUUAUUCAGCUAUAAAGAUGAAAUCCUGAUAUCUACUAAGGUAGAUGAUUCAGAAAUACAGAGAUUAAGUGUUCUGUCUUAUGUGGUCUCGCUCUAUUCCUUCUUCUCCACUUCAUCUUCUCUUUCUUUCUACACACAAUGCCCCCCCCCCCAAUAUUUGCACCUACAUGAAAGUACAUAUGAAAGUUAAAUGGGAACUUUGAGAGGAAGAGUAAUAAAGGAGAUGAAGUGGGAAUAAGAGAGGGUAAUGGAAAUAAUGUGUGUAAAUGCAGGAGAAAUUAACUGGAGGAAGAUGGAAGGGAGGGGGAAUAGGAACUAGAACAACAUUUAUGAAUGACAAAUGCCACACCAAAACUUUCUAGGAGUCUAAAAAUUUAAUUCAAAAUUAUAAAACUGUGCAUAUUAUCAGCACACUGUAUGGAACUAGUUAAAAUAGCUCUCCAUAAUCCAAUUCUUUGUGCACAGUAAAUCAGUUAGAGUUGUACAUAUAGGUAAUAUUUGUAAUGAUACAGGAAAAUAUUUUUAAGUAGAAAAAGUAACUGUGGAAGAACAUUCAUUACUGUCACUUUUUGGCUAAAAAUACACAUAUAGAGAAAUACAAAAAGACAGAAAAUAUUUUAAAGAGGUAAAUACUGUAAUUUUAGGAACAGUUAUCCAUAAAAGUUUGACUGUAAUGAGAUUUCAACGUUUUUCUAUUUUAGUUUCUUUAUUUUAUUUAAGGGUAGUUAGAAAGUAAUAGAAUAGUAUAGAUGCUUCUUUAGGCAACAAUUUAUAGAAUUUCCUUCUGACAUAGCAACUCUGAAGUACUUACUGAUGUGAAUUAAAGCAGAGUUAUUUACCUCCGACAGCUACUAUUCCUUCUAAGAAGGAACUACAAUGACACAAGAGAUACAGUUCCUAUACUUUUACUUGAAUACAUUAUUUUAAAUAUUAGUCUAUAUGUUGAGAAAAGGUCUUAUUUCAUAUAAACACUCAUCAAUUCAUUUAUUUUCUUGACAUGAUAAACAUGUUUUAAUGAUGUGCAAAAACAUUCUGGAAGGAUUCUUUUCAAAAUCCUCCAAGCAUUACCAAAACUCGGUUAGAAUGACACAUGAAAUAUAACCAAAACCUGGAGCAACAUUUCUCCCUUUGUAUCGUAAAACAGAUAACACUAGUUUACACAAACACAGUAUAGGAAGCAAAUGAGAAAUUUUCAUGAUGUUGCUUGAUAAAUGGUACCACUGCCAACCUCAACAGAUUUCUAAGGCAUCUUAAAAUGGUAAUUUGUUUGGCUCUUUCAAAACAAAUAGUUCUAUUUAUGCAAAGGCACAGAGUCAGUAUGUGGGAAAAAGUUUGCUUGCUUUCUCUCUGUUACAGAGUGCCAACCAUACCAAGCUAUUUCUCUUUAACAUCCAAGGUCAGGGUCACUCCAGCAUCCAUGUCUGUAAUUUACUACCCAGAUUGCUUUCGGUUUGAUCUAUUUAAAUGAAUUCAAGAGACUUGCUUGGGACCUCUAAUCUCCCAGUUGAUUUUGUUAAUUUACUAGUAAAUGUCCUACAGAACAUGUAAACUCAGUUUGAAUGUCAGGUUUCUCAAUGGGUAGUCUUCCUGGGAAGCUUACCACAGAGUGUACAUUCCACCAAAGAACAGCCCACUUUAGAUGGCAAUGAAAAAAACAUGUCUCCAAGAUAUCUGACAUUUUGCAGUUGGUAGCAAUUGGAGGGAUUAGUUCUUUACCAAUCAUCCAUUACAGGCCCCCUUCAUUUAAAAGAAACAAGACUUUAGAGCUGUUGAAAAUUUGGCUCCUAUGCAGGAAAUUAUUUUGAUGGUUUGAAUGAGAAGGCACCAUAGGCUCAUAAUUUGAAUGCUUGGUCCUUAGUUGGCGGAGCUAUUUUGGGACAGUAUAGGAGGUGUGGCCUACUGGAAGGGUGUGGGCUUUGAGGUCAAGAAAGCUCAUACCAGGCAUACUUUCUGCCUGAACUUGUGAGUCAGAAUGCAAGCUUUGAACAUCCAUGCCUGCCUGCCUGCCACCUCGCUUCCUGCCAUGAUGGUCGUGGAUCAGCACCUGAAACAGUGCAGAUUUUUUCCCCAUAGAAUGUAUAAUGCAAAGCAGAGUGACUCCUAAAGUAAGCUGUAGUGGAUCAAUGUGAUGCCUGCAAACAGCAAUAAAGGAAUAAUUCAAAGAAGUUUAACAUUCAAAUGAACACAGACAAUGCAGGAGCCCAAAAUAGAACUGCAUCCAGUGUUAGAUUUUCAACUCCUUCAUCUUUCAUCUUCAGUUCUUACUAUCUUCCUUUCCAAAGCCUUGUGAGGCUGUGAUUGUGUUGACAGUCAUAUUUCAAUGAACAAGGCCAUUAAAGCAUCUUUCAAUUAACAAGGCUAAAGUCACUAUACCUUUAUUCCUAGGGCAUGUUUGCCUAUAUAGGUUUUAUUUUAACAACUGGUGUCUGUUGAUAUCUUUCUGCCCACAGUGAACAGGAGUUUUUUAUUAAGUAUUCUGAAUGUGCCAUGACAAGUAAAUGCAAGUAGGUUGUUUAAAAGUACUAAAGUAGAAAAGAGCUACAUAGUUUCAAGGCAGGUGUACUUAGAAGCCAUUUCAUGAAGUGAUAUACUACGAUUUAGGAUUCCAGAGGACUAAGCAGUCAACAACGGGUAAAAAUCACAGCACUACAGGAGACAGCAGUGCAAAUGUAUUUGGAAGAGAAAAGGGAGAGGGGGUAAAUAGUUGGGAUAAUCUCUUGUGCCUUAUGUAAUGGUUGACUGUAUUAUUCAAAUGCUGGUUUCGGUACUGUGAAAGCUGAGUCCAGGACCCUUGGUAUUCUUAAUUUUAUGAAGUAUCAUCUCUCUUGGUGUUCUGUAAACAUCUCGAUCAUGUUCUGAUUUGAUCAAUAAAGUGCUGAAUGGCCUAUAGCAAAGCAAGAGAGGAUAGGUGGGACAAAACGGCAGAGAAAGAAACUCUGGAAAAUACAGGAGACUUAUCAGCCAGACUUGGAGGAAGAAACAGGUGUCCAUACUGGGAGACCUCCCCGUAGAGGGGAGGUAACAAGCCGUGUGGCAGAAGAAAAGCUAGAAUAAAUGGGUUAAUUUAAGUCAACAAGCUAGUUGGAAACAAGCUUAAGCUGUAAGGCCUAGGCAUCAUAAAAAAUACUAACUGUCUCAUUAUUGGGCAGUUCGUGGAUUUGAGACAGUCCAGUAGAAAAAAAUGAAUGAAUGAAUGAAUGAAUGAGGAACAACCUAGGGUACAGGCUCGAUCCCUCAUCUCUUUGUGUGGAGAGUGAACUCUGAAAGGUCAUGGGACUUUGUUUAGUGAUGAUCAUCAUUAACAGUUCUCAAGAUGAUAUGCUAAUUUGUUGAAAAGAGAUCAAACUAGUGUCGUUGUUUUCUGAAGUUCUAGGUGAAGUGAUAUAUAAUUCUGUACUAAGUAACUACAAUAAUACGACAAAACAAAGCUAGAAACAAAACCCUAACAGUGUGAGAAACAGAAAAAUCAUUGGUAGCAGCCGAGUAAAACAGAAAACAGAGAAGUCCACAAUUUCCUUACUCUCCUUUUAAAUGUCUUUAUCAACGCCAAGCAGAGGAGAAUACAGAAUUGCUCUUUAUUUCUGGACCCUGAUUAGGGUGUCAAUUUUACUGGGAAAACUUUCAAAUAAAUUUCUUAAAGGAGCUGAGCAGGAUGGGGCAGAGGCAAGGGCUCUGUGCAGGUGAGUGGACAGCUGAGAAGGAGUGAAGCAGUGUAGCCUCGGAAUCUUUAUUCAUCUUCCCAGGAUGAAAUCAACCUUGCCACACACAGGUUCAGAGCCCAAGUACCCAAGGACCUGGAUACAUAUGUGGACACUGAUGACCAGUUCUGUCUGCUUUAUAACUCUUGCAUUCUGACAAACUGGCAUCUUGAUUCAAGGAAGAAGAGAUUCGUAACUAUUGCCUUCUCUUCAUAUUCAAAUGAUAAGAGAGGGGCACGAAGCUAUUUAGAAUGCCCAAACUGGCUUCAGACAAAGAGUCACGUCUCUAAGUAAUGAAUGGUUGAUUUAAAGUGCCCACUUGGUUCAUUAGGUCUGUUGUUUCGAAUGGAUCAAUUUCAUCUUAUCCUUUGUUUGAAAAACUAUGAAUUUAAAGGGUAGAUUUGGACAUAAAUGGCCCAAGGAAAACAAUGAAAGAUGUGACCAGUAGGAAAAUUACUUUUUUUUUUUUUCAGGGAGGCACAUCUAUGAAAGAAAGCUCUAGAUAAAGAUAUGUGUGUAUGAAUUGCUAGUGCCUUCUGGGGGAUUCCUUUAGACACAGCUGAUAAGGGUGCCUAUCAAGUCCAGGGAUACUGAAGGGAAGCACUUCCAGCUGGCGCCCCUGAGCAGAGGCCACUUAGGAACUGAGGAGCAACAGUGGGGGAGGAGUCAGUCUUCUAGACUCAACUCACCCAUUGGCUGAGUCCAGUGCACAUUCCUCUGUGAAAGAAACCAGCCCUGCAUCUGAGCUACUGCUCUUCUGGGCCUGCUUCCAGUGGAAUGAAUUCUGGUGGAUAUGCUCCCAGGGAAGGCAUCUUUGAGGAAGUAAUUAUAUGUGUAAUGAAAAGAGACUUAAAGAGUGUUACAGGAGCCUAGGGGCCAGGAUAUUGCCUAUCCAUUGUCUUUUUGUCUCUGUUCUGAUUUUCUAAUUAAAUGGUGAAAAUCACAUCUGCAGAAUUCAUUAUCUUUGGCUCAGUAGUUUUUCUUCUGAGCAUAUAUUUUUAAAAGAAAGUCACAUUCAGAGAUCAAACACUAUGCAUGUAUGUGUUGGUUACACCAAAAGCAUAUCACUGUCCAAGAGAAACAAACAUGUGAGCUCAUACUCCAAUGAAUAUUACUCAAGGACCACACAUCUUCAUGAACACCGUCUACCAGCAUAUGGUUAUAUCUGUCUUAAGUCCAAAGAUAGUAUGCUAGUGUGUACACAACAUUGGUAUGCACAUUGGAAGUAUGAGAGGAAAUAACAUAAAAAUUGCACAACAAUGACAUUAUAUUGUAUUUCUGACCACAGAAUUUCCCUCAUUUUUUCUUUUCUUUUCUUUUUUUAAAGAUUUAUUUUAUUUAUAUGAGUACACUGUAGCUGUUUUCAGACACACCAAAGAGGGCACCAGAUCCCAUUACAGGUGGUUGUGAGCCACCAUGUGGUUGCUGGGAAUUGAACUCAGGACCUCUGGAAGAGCAGUUAGUGCUCUUAAUUGCUGAGCCAUCUCUCCAGCCCUCCCUCAUUUUUUCUUGCUGUCUCAAAUUUUCUCUAGUGAUCAUGUACUAGCUAUCACAAACAUACCUGCAUGUUAAUGCAUGCACACACACACACACAAACACUAGCAGCAGCAGCAACAACAACCAAAAACACCCCCCAAAAUCAAAAGCUAAUUAAAAAAAAAAAAAAAACCUUUACAAUUUUCUCUCAGGCUGGGAUGCUUGAUCAGGAUGAAAUGAAAUAAGGACCCUGAUUGAAUUCAAAAGAUCAAUAACAUUUCAUAGUUAUAAAGAUACUGUACAUAUAAUAUUUCACUGGAAAUCAAGAGUUUUAGUUCAGUGUAAGUUCAGUGAAACUAUUUAUUAUGUGGCUUGUUGAAGUCCCUAAUCUAGAGUUGAAUUCCAUACAACUGUAGUAUUCUAAAAAGAAAAGCAGCAAACUACAUAUAUGUGGACUGUCCAGUCUUGUUUAGAGUACCUUGCCUAGCUCUUAGCUAGACAUUUGAAGAUUGUCAUUGACCUGUGGCUCCUACACAGAACACUGUGAUGGAGUAAGGGAAGCUGGUGGAAGGGGAAAACCCAGCAAAGCUCAUUGUACAAAUGUAUGAAAUGGUCAAAGAAUAAAAAAAUGAUGAAAAUAAAAGGAAUUCACAAUAAAGCCAUGAUACUGAUCUCUAGCAUGUAGCUUAUGGUAGAAACAUUAGACUCAGAUCCAACCGUUUCAGGAAUACAAUAAAAUCAAAUGUAGAAAAACAUCCUGCAGAGUUCAGGAGACAGGAAGGGUGGGUGUUUUGUCCUGCUGAUACUGUCUUUUCCCACAAUCUUUUUGGGCAUGCAAUCACUACUUACCUAUUAAGGAAUACUUGGAUUUAUUCUAUAACACUAAAUAUUUUUAAAUUGCUGUCUUACAACCAAUACAAAUAUAACAAAACUUUUGUAAAUAGUACCUUAUUCAUCUCUACAUUUUUGCCAUUUGAUCUUUGACUAUGUGCAAUGCUGGCCACACACAUAAUAAAAGUACUAUGAAUAUGUUAUCUUUUAUUUAAUUUUAUAUUUCCGUACUUUAUAUUAUUGCUUCCGUUCUAAUUGUUUGUGGUUAAGUUAUUUGUGGGUGGUUUUGUUUUGUUUUGUUUUUUGUCUAUUUGGGUGCUUUAUUUGGAUACCACCAGACUCUUUAUGGAACAAAGAAGACCACGGUGUCGGAGAGUCUCACACCGGUGAAUCAGGUCACAAAAUGUAACCACAGAAGGAGGGGUUACUAUAUUGGAAGCCCUCACUCCAGGCCCACAUCUGCUUUGUCUCACUGCCUCUUCCCACGCUCCUAAGCACUAGGACAGCCACGGCACAUACAAGUCAGUUUUUUAACACUCUGAGUUCAACAUCAUAUUUCAUUCUGAUCCUCUCAGGUGACCUGCAAAGCAGAAACAGUGGGAAUGAGGUGGUCCUCACAGAUAGUAUUAUGCACUUUGGAUGCAAGAGGAAAUGGCAGUGUUAGGUAAUGGCCAUGAAACUUCUGUCACACCACCGGCAUGUCAGAAGCUUAAGGAAAUUUCCUUUUUAUGCUUCAGUUUGUUUCCAACUCUAACACAUACAUUGUUUCUGUUCUUAAAUAUAAAAAUAUUUUAUGUGGAUGAGUGGUUUUCCUGUAUGUAUUUCUACAUACCAUGUAUAUGAAGUAUCUGAAAAGGUCAGAAGGUGGCAGUGGAUCACUUGCAACUCGAGCCACCAUUGGCUGUGAGCUGCCCCGUGGGGGUGGGAAACAAAUUCAGGUCCUCUGUGUACAGUAAUCGUUCUUACUACUGAGCAAUCUCUCCAGCCCUGUUAUUUAUGUAUUUUAAUCAGAACAUCAAAUAGUCAGUUUACAGAACCAAGGAACAUGGUGCCCAAAUCCUCAUGUAUACACGUAUAACUUUAUGAGACACCUAGAAACCAAAUCAAUUGCAGUGCAUUGGACAGUCCAGUGCAUCAGCUACAACCUUUAUAGGAAAUAUAUACUACUAUAGUUUUAAAAUAUGAGUCUUCGCCCAAAGGCAAGGCUCCUUAUAUACCACUUGGUGGCCUUCCCUUAGAGAUCCGAUUUCUUGAGACAGCAGUUACCAGUCCUGAAGUACUAUUGUCAAGCUUCUUUAAUUUACCAUUGAAUGAAAAGAAGGAAAAUAAAAAGGAGGGCAUGACUACUUCUAAAGGAUGGAGAGGGUUUAUUAUAGACACUUGAGAGCCUAAGAGGCAGAGAUGCCUGGACGAGUCCAGACUUGACCUUGCCAGCACACGGUGCAGGCAGGUCAUGUGCAGACAGGAAGGAGAGAGGGAAGAGGCAGAGAGGAGAAUCAGGAGCAGCAGCCAAGAGGGCAAGAAGCCCAAAAGGCCAAAAAGGACUGGUACAGUCAAAAUGGUUCUGCUAUAUAGGGGGAGUAAGAACAGCUGGGGUAGGUGCAAGCCCAGCCCAGUCUCUGGGCUAGAGAAGUUUAGGGUAGGGGGCUGAAUAUGCCAGCUAGAAGGAGCCUGUAACAGAUAGGGAACUGAGAGAUGCUGGUGGCCAGAGUUUAUAUUGAUAUGUUAAUAGACAUCUCAGCCACUUGUCCCUGGUUUGAGACUUAAAAACCAUGCUACAGAAUUCUUCUAGUUUUUGUUGUGUGUUUAUUUGGUUGUUUUAAAUCUUUUUUUUUUCAUAUUUAUUUAUUUAUUUUAUGCAUAUGAGUACACUGUAGAUGGUUGUGAGAAGUCAUGUGCUUGCUGGGAAUUGAACUCAGGACUUCUGCUUGCUUCGGCCCCACUCCAGCCCAAAGAUUUAUUAUUAUAUGUAAAUACACUGUAGCUGUCUUUAGAUACCCCAGAAGAGGGUGUCAGAUUUCAUUAUUGAUGGUUGUGAGGCACCCUGAGGUUUCUGAGAUUUGAACUCAGGACCUUGGAAGAGCAAUCGGUGCUCUAACCAGCUGAGCCAUCUCUCCAGCCCUGUUUUAAGCUAUAAUUACCAAUUGUCUGACCUAGAAAGUGAAAGGGAAAAAAACCCAAACAAACAAAAAACAAAACCAAAAACCAAACCAAACCAACCAACAAAACCCCCAACCAACUGAGGAAAGAGGCCAGAGUUGUCUGUGCGUACAGCCCCACCCACUCAAGAAACUUAGUAGGCACCCCACUUUUUAUCUGAUCCUAAUUCAUGUCUUAGCAGUUCCAUUUCUGGCUGGCCCCAGGCUGUUUCCAAGGGUGCAGAGUGAAGCACUGAAAGCCAUCAUCAAUCAUUCAUCAGUUACAAUUACCAUUUGCAUCCAUUUAUCUAAUCACAGCCUGCAGAAACUACCACCAACUAACAGUUCAAAAUCAGUUUAACACAGACACAUCAGGGUGAUUAUGAUACUCUAGCAUUAUCUAAUACACAUGGCUGCCCUGCUCAUGUUUCAUUUAAAUGAACAAUGCAUGUUCUGUCUUCGUCACAUCACAUAUACUGUGGGAAAAGAGAGCAAAAUAUUCUACAGUAAUGGGGUUGUCUGGGUCAUCAUGUGCAGGCUUCUUCAAACCAUCAAAGGCAGAAAUUCAUUGAGCUUCUAAUUCCCAGAACUGUAGUUUAAUGGAUAUUCUCUCUUUCUCCCUUCCUUUCCUUCCAUUCUCCCUUCCCUCCUCUCAUCUCCUCUGGCUCUCCCUUUCUUGCUUGCUAAUAACAGAAACUGAAUCCCUAUGCAAAGCUGUUAGCAUGGCUACUCUAGGUAUAUCUCCCCAGCUAUGUUUUUUACUUGUUUGUUGCUUUCCUUUCUUCAUAGAUUCUACAUCUGGUUCUUUUCAUAUUUAGAAAUGACAUUGAUUGUUCUGUAUAUUUUUAUAUUUUAUUAUUUUUGUAUUUCAUACAUUGUAUUUAUCCUCCUCCCCACAUGUCUUUCCAGAUCCACUCAAUUUGGUGUCCUUGUGCUGGAUAAUUUUAUGUCAACUGGACACAAGCGACAAUCAUCUAAGAGGAGGAAACCUCAGUUAAGAAAAUGCCUUCAUAAGACUGGCUUGUGGGCAAAUAUGUAAGGCGUCUUUUCAAUUAGUGAUUGAUGGAAGAAGGCUCAGCCCAUAGUGGGUGGUUUCAUGCCUGGGCUGGUGGCCUUGAGUUCUAUAAGAAAGUGGGCUGAGCAAGCCAUCAGGAGCAAGACAGUAGGCAUCACCCAUCCAUCGUCUCUGCAUCAGCUCCUCUCUCAAGCUGCUGGUCUUGUUUGAGUCCCUGUCUUGAUUCUCUUCAAUAAUAGGCUGCAAUGUGGAAGUGUGAGUCAAAUAAACCCUUUCCUUCCCAACUUGC